rnacentral:tRNA from 1 species
GGCAAUGUAGCUCAGUGGUUAAAGCAUGGCCUGGGUUUGAGUCCUAGCUUUGCCA